CCAUGGCGGUUACAUGUUGUGCCGUUCGCGCGGACUGAUUGGAGCUCGCUCCCUGCUGUUAGCGGCGGACGGGUGAGUAACACGUGGGUAACCUGCCUGUAAGACUGGGAUAACUCCGGGAAACCGGGGCUAAUACCGGAUGGUUGUUUGAACCGCAUGGUUCAAACAUAAAAGGUGGCUUCGGCUACCACUUACAGAUGGACCCGCGGCGCAUUAGCUAGUUGGUGAGGUAACGGCUCACCAAGGCAACGAUGCGUAGCCGACCUGAGAGGGGAUCGGCCACACUGGGACUGAGACACGGCCCAGACUAAUACGGGAGGCAGCAGUAGGGAAUCUUCCGCAAUGGACGAAAGUCUGACGGAGCAACGCCGCGUGAGUGAUGAAGGUUUUCGGAUCGUAAAGCUCUGUUGUUAGGGAAGAACAAGUACCGUUCGAAUAGGGCGGUACCUUGACGGUACCUAACCAGAAAGCCACGGCUAACUACGUGCCAGCAGCCGCGGUAAUACGUAGGUGGCAAGCGUUGUCCGGAAUUAUUGGGCGUAAAGGGCUCGCAGGCGGUUUCUUAAGUCUGAUGUGAAAGCCCCCGGCUCAACCGGGGAGGGUCAUUGGAAACUGGGGAACUUGAGUGCAGAAGAGGAGAGUGGAAUUCCACGUGUAGCGGUGAAAUGCGUAGAGAUGUGGAGGAACACCAGUGGCGAAGGCGACUCUCUGGUCUGUAACUGACGCUGAGGAGCGAAAGCGUGGGGAGCGAACAGGAUUAGAUACCCUGGUAGUCCACGCCGUAAACGAUGAGUGCUAAGUGUUAGGGGGUUUCCGCCCCUUAGUGCUGCAGCUAACGCAUUAAGCACUCCGCCUGGGGAGUACGGUCGCAAGACUGAAACUCAAAGGAAUUGACGGGGGCCCGCACAAGCGGUGGAGCAUGUGGUUUAAUUCGAAGCAACGCGAAGAACCUUACCAGGUCUUGACAUCCUCUGACAAUCCUAGAGAUAGGACGUCCCCUUCGGGGGCAGAGUGACAGGUGGUGCAUGGUUGUCGUCAGCUCGUGUCGUGAGAUGUUGGGUUAAGUCCCGCAACGAGCGCAACCCUUGAUCUUAGUUGCCAGCAUUCAGUUGGGCACUCUAAGGUGACUGCCGGUGACAAACCGGAGGAAGGUGGGGAUGACGUCAAAUCAUCAUGCCCCUUAUGACCUGGGCUACACACGUGCUACAAUGGACAGAACAAAGGGCAGCGAAACCGCGAGGUUAAGCCAAUCCCACAAAUCUGUUCUCAGUUCGGAUCGCAGUCUGCAACUCGACUGCGUGAAGCUGGAAUCGCUAGUAAUCGCGGAUCAGCAUGCCGCGGUGAAUACGUUCCCGGGCCUUGUACACACCGCCCGUCACACCACGAGAGUUUGUAACACCCGAAGUCGGUGAGGUAACUGUUUACCAGCUCAGCAGCUAGUAAAUAGGUCCCAUGGCCC
rnacentral:rRNA from 1 species